CAGCAUUAGGAUUGAAAGAGGAAGAAGAUUCAGAAUCUCCUUGGGAUUCAGAGUGUGCCACUGAAAGUCUCCCCAAAGGAUCUGCCAGGCAUAAACCUGCAGCCACAAAUCAAACAAUAAAAGAGAGUAUUUCAAUGGGACAAAAUGAAGUGCUGUUACGUAUUUUUAUGGGACAAAGUACAGAAGGAAGCAGAUGGUCUUGAUGUCCUCACUCAGUCAUCUGACACAGCUACAAAGGAUUAUGAUUUACC
rnacentral:lncRNA from 1 species